rnacentral:misc_RNA from 1 species
GAUGAAGAACGCAGCGAAAUGCGAUACGUAAUGUGAAUUGCAGAAUUCAGUGAAUCAUCGAGUCUUUGAACGCACAUUGCGCCCCCUGGUAUUCCGGGGGGCAUGCCUGUCCGAGCGUCAUUUCACCACUCAAGCCUGGCUUGGUGUUGGGCGACGUCCCCUUUGGGGACGCGCCUCGAAACGCUCGGCGGCGUGGCACCGGCUUUAAGCGUAGCAGAAUCUUUCGCUUUGGAAGUCGGGGCCCCGUCUGCCGGAAGACCUACUCGCAAGGUUGACCUCGGAUCAGGCAGGGAUACCCGCUGAACUUAAGCAUAUCAAUAAGCGGAGGGA